ACAUACAAUCAAAGUUUACGUCAAAUGGCUCAUAAAAAAGAUGAAAAUUGUAAUAAAGAUAAAAAUAUCUAUAGGUACACAUUGAUAUCACAUUUAUAUCUACCUUUUGUUCGUACACGGUACCGUCGCUGCCCGUCGACCAGUAUGGUGUUUGUAUGCAUAUCCGUGUUGCGUGUGCGUAAAAAUUAGUGAAAAACGAAAAAGAAAUGACCUAACAAUUUAUGAUACAAUGUCAAUACUAUUACAAAAAAAAACAGACAUCAAUAAAAAAAAUUGUUCAAUGUUUGGAGAGACAGCAGUGUAAUUGGUUCGAACCACUCUUAGUAAACAGCAAUUGGUUUUCCAGAAAGCAUCAGUUCAGAUAUUCGUAAUGAGUGUACGUGUUUACCUAUAAAAAAAAUAUUCAUACCUUAUUUGACUUACCUAUUUUCUUUGUAUUAUCAAGUGUAUCAUAAGAUAAAAAAAAUAUAAUAAAUAAAAAAUAUAUUUGUAUGGGUCUAUUAAGAAUUUAAAUAUAUUAAAAUUACUAUAGAUACUCACACAUCAUAAUGGAAAAUAGUUUUCCGCAAAUAUGGAAAAUAAUAGAUAUUCACCACGGUGGUCAAAUGAAAAAAUUUAUAUUCCAAGAAAUACCAGAACAUUAUUAUGAUGAAAUUAUUAAUAAAUAUGCACAUGAAUUUUGGUCUGAAGAAAUUACAUAUCGUAGUUGUAAUUUCUUGAAUGACCCAGUAUCUGCAUUAAAUAUGAAAAAUAAAUAUAGAAAAUAUUUAGCCCAAAAAAUAUCAAUUGGCGUAUUUGAAUAUAUAGAAAAUGAUAACAAUACAUUAGUAGGUCUUAAUUUUUUAUUUCGUGAGAAUAUUAAAUCAAUGAAGAUUAUGCACUCAAUCUCAACUUACUCCGAACAAAUUUCUAAUUACCUACAAACUGUUUCCAAGAGUUAUGCUGAACAAUUAAUUGGCAAUGAAGAUUAUCUUGCAUCAGAAAUGUUAUUUGUUCAUAAAGAUUACCGCAACAUUGGCUUAGCUCUACAGCUGCUGGAAUUAAGAAAUUAUAUUGGAAAAAAAUAUAAUUUGAAAUAUACAAUCAGUUUUUUUACUAGUAGCACUGCUCAAAAAUUAGCCGAAAAAGUUGGCUUUACAAGAAAACGUGUAUAUAGUUUUAAUGAUGCAGUAGAUAAUGAAAAAAAUUAUCUAUUUCCUUUAUUAAAAGAUAAAAGUGGAACGUGUAUGAUUAAAUAUAUUUUAUAAUUGAUCGAAUAUCUAAAA